rnacentral:lncRNA from 1 species
AAAAACCCAAAUUCAGUCCUGGUGGAAUACGAGCAUAACCAGUCGCACGCACAGAACAGAAGGGGGCAAAGAAACCCCAAAUCGCUGCUGACCUGCUGUUGUUGUUCGAGUCCGAGGGCAGGGGUCUUGAACUUGCUCGAUUUCUUCACGAAUCACGGCUCAUCCUCAGGUUGAAAUUGGGGGUGAAUUUUAGCCCUAAACUUGUUGAAAUUGUCAAUCUUCGACGAAUUCUUCUUGAAUCUUCAUAAGGUAUGUAUUAUGCUAUGGGAUUGACCGGCUGCUGCUGUGCCUGCUCUUGUUCGACUGCAAGCUGCUGCGCUACUUGUUGUGGUCUUGUUUGACUUCUUCAAUCUUCAUAAGGUUAA